AGCUCCAAUAGCGUAUAUUAAAGUUGUUGCAGUUAGAACGCUCGUAGUCGGAUUUCGGGGCGGUCCGACCGGUCUGCCGAUGGGUACGCACUGGUCGGAGCGUCCUUUUUGCCGGAGACCGUGCCUACUCUUAACUGAGCGGGGGCGGGAGACGGCACUUUUACUUUGAAAAAAUCAGAGUGUUUCAAGCAGGCAGCUCGCUCUUGCAUGGAUUAGCAUGGGAUAAUGAAAUAGGACUUUGGUGCUAUUUUGUUGGUUUCGAACACCGAAGUAAUGAUGAGAAGGGACAGUCAGGGGCACUCGUAUUCCGCCGAGAGAGGUGAAAUUCUCAGACCAGCGGAAGACGAACCACUGCGAAAGCAUUUGCCAGGGAUGUUUUCACUG
rnacentral:rRNA from 1 species